CCUACGGGAGGCUGCAGUGGGGAAUAUUGCACAAUGGGAGGAACCCUGAUGCAGCGACGCCGCGUGGGUGAAGAAGUACUUCGGUACGUAAAGCCCUAUCAGCCGGAAAGAAAAUGACGGUACCUGACUAAGAAGCCCCGUCUAAAUACGUGCCAGCAGCCGCGGUAAUACGUCGGGGGCCGGCGUUAUCCGGAUUUACUGGGUGUAAAGGGGGCUUAGACGGCGGUGCAAGUCCGGAGUGAAAGCCCUGGGCGCAACCCUGGGACUGCUCUGGAAACUGGAAAGCUGGAGUGGGGGAGGGGCAGGCGGAAUUCCUGGUGUAGCGGUGAAAUGCGUAGAUAUCAGGAGGAACACCGGCGGCGAAGGCGGCCUGCUGGACCGUAACUGACGUUGAGGCUCGAAAGCGUGGGGAGCAAACAGGAUUAGAUACCCUUGUAGUC
rnacentral:rRNA from 1 species